GACGAACGCUGGCGGCGUGCUUAACGCAUGCAAGUCGAACGGAAAGGCCCUGCUUUUGUGGGGUGCUCGAGUGGCGAACGGGUGAGUAACACGUGAGUAACCUGCCCUUGACUUUGGGAUAACUUCAGGGAACUGGGGCUAAUACCGGAUAGGAGCUCCUGCUGCAUGGUGGGGGUUGGAAAGUUUCGGCGGUUGGGGAUGGACUCGCGGCUUAUCAGCUUGUUGGUGGGGUAGUGGCUUACCAAGGCUUUGACGGGUAGCCGGCCUGAGAGGGUGACCGGCAACAUUGGGAAUGAGAUACGGCCCGAACUCCUACGGGAGGCAGCAGUGGGGAAUAUUGCACAAUGGGCGGAAGCCUGAUGCAGCAACGCCGCGUGCGGGAUGACGGCCUUCGGGUUGUAAACCGCUUUCGCCUGUGACGAAGCGUGAGUGACGGUAAUGGGUAAAGAAGCACCGGCUAACUACGUG
rnacentral:rRNA from 1 species